AGCCACAGCCAUUUCACCCUGCAGCCCAAAACCAGUUACUCACUGAAGAUAAGCAGGGCUGCGCCUGGUUAGUACCUGGAUGGGAGACCACUAGGGAACACUAGGUUGCUGUUGGAA
rnacentral:rRNA from 1 species